rnacentral:rRNA from 1 species
UGAUUAAGCCAUGCAAGUCGAGAGGGUUCGGCCCUCGGCAUACUGCUCAGUAACACGUGGUUAACCUGCCCUAAGGUGGUGAAUACUCCCGGGAAACUGGGGCUAAUGCACCAUAGUGGAUACUUGCUGGAAUGCUGUACCCUCGAAAGAUCCGUCGCCUUAGGGUGGGACUGCGUCCGAUUAGGUAGUUGGUGGGGUAACGGCCCACCAAGCCUGUCAUCGGUACGGGUUGUGGGAGCAAGAUCCCGGAGAUGGAUUCUGAGACAUGAAUCCAGGCCCUACGGGGCGCAGCAGGCGCGCAAACUUUACAAUGCGAGCAAUCGUGAUAAGGAAACCCUGAGUGCCUGUUGAUGCAGGCUGUUCAUCUGUUUAAAUUGCAGGUGAAGAAAGGGCAGGGCAAGACCGGUGCCAGCCGCCGCGGUAAUACCGGCUGCUCGAGUGAUGGCCACUAUUACUGGGUUUAAAGCGUCCGUAGCUUGACUGAUAGGUCUCUUGGGAAAUCUUAACGCUUAACGUUAAGGCGUCUAAGAGAUACCGUCAGUCUUGGAACUGGGAGAGGUAAACCGUACUUCGGGGGUAGGAGUGAAAUCUUGUAAUCCUCGAGGGACGACCUAUGGCGAAGGCAGUUUACCAGAACAGCUUCGACAGUGAGGGACGAAAGCUGGGGGAGCAAACGGGAUUAGAUACCCCGGUAGUCCCAGCCGUAAACAAUGUGCGUUAGGUGUAUCGGUAACCACGCGUUACUGAUGCGCCGCAGAGAAAUCGUGAAACGCACCACCUGGGAAGUACGGUCGCAAGGCUGAAACUUAAAGGAAUUGGCGGGGGAGCA